rnacentral:rRNA from 1 species
GACGAACGCUGGCGGCGUGCUUAACACAUGCAAGUCGAACGGAAAGGCCCUGCUUUUGUGGGGUGCUCGAGUGGCGAACGGGUGAGUAACACGUGAGUAACCUGCCCUUGACUUUGGGAUAACUUCAGGAAACUGGGGCUAAUACCGGAUAGGAGCUCCUGCUGCAUGGUGGGGGUUGGAAAGUUUCGGCGGUGGGGGAUGGACUCGCGGCUUAUCAGCUUGUUGGUGGGGUAGUGGCUUACCAAGGCUUUGACGGGUAGCCGGCCUGGGAGGGUGACCGGCCACAUUGGGAAUGAGAAACGGCCCAGGCUCAACGGGGGGGAAAGAGGGGGGAAUAUGGCCAAAGGGGCGGAGUGCUGAGACAGCACCGCCGGGGGGGGAAGGACGGCUUUUGGGUUAGAAACGCAUUUGGCUUGUGACGAAGCGUGAGGGCGGGAAAUGGGUAAAAAACCCCGGGUAACUUCCGG